CCACACUAAAAUCUUUCCACGUGUAACUGUUUUGCUGUUUUUGUUGGGGCUGUUCUGUUCUGUUGUGCUGCUUUUUUGCGGUGGGGCGGGGCGGUUUGGCCUAUCAACUGGGUUGUUGUGUGAGGGGAGCUAGCCUUUGUGGCGGGUACCUGUUGCGUGGCGCCUGGUUUGUUUUAAACCCAUUUGAAAUGACUGAUUUAUAUUGCGGGGGAGAAAUCCUUUGCUCUUAACUAGAUACAACUUUCAGCAGUGGAUGUCUAGGCUCGCACAUCGAUGAAGAACGCUGCGAACUGCGAUACGUAAUGCGAAUUGCAGGAUUCAGUGAGUCAUCGAAAUUUUGAACGCAUAUUGCACUUCCGGGUUAUGCCUGGGAGUAUGUCUGUAUCAGUGUCCGUACAUCAAAGUUGCCUCUCUUCCUUCCGUGUAGUCGGUGGAUGGGGAUGGCAGAUGUGAAGUGUCUUGUGUGGUGGCAGCGCGCUUUGUGUGCUGACUGUCUGUCAAGUCCUUUUAAAUGUACCGUGUUUCUUCUUUAGCUCGAACUGGUGUCUUUCGCGUGCUAUUUUUGCGGCAUGCCGGGGACCUGUUGUGAGGACGUUUAGGAGAUCGCUUUCGAUUCGUGGUAUGUUAGGCUUCGGCCGGACAGUUCACUUAUUGUUAGUGUUUUCCUGUUUUCUCGACUGGGUGUACUGGUAGUUGUGGGAUUUUUGGCGUGUGAAUGUUGUCUGUAGUAGAGUGCCUUGGCUUGAUUGUCUUGGCGGAGCGACGCAAAGUUUUUGGGAAAUUUGUGUGGCUGUUUGCUUAAGUGCUUUCGGCUUGCAUCUCAA
rnacentral:rRNA from 1 species